AUAGGAAAACAUUGUUGCCAAAACGCCGUCGUUGCUAGUGGAACAGUCGUGCUCGUCUUCUCCAACCCGGUUCAAUCGGCUGAAAAUCUGCAACGAGUUCGAUCCAAUCGUGGACCACGCCUCUCGCCUGUAAUCUCGUCCAGGGAAGAUGACAGUCCUGCGAAGGCAGGACUGUUUAGAGGCAAUUCGAAGUCUCUAUAAAAGGAGGAGCCGAAAAACACACCAAAAAAAAAAAAUUGGCAGAACAAGAACGGAGAAAAUCACCCAAGAACAGAGAGGAAAACAGAGAAACCCACAGAGUAGAAAUAUUCAAAUACAUAGAAAAA